ensembl:lncRNA
GAGUCUGCUGACGUGGCCAACCAAGUUCCGCUGAGGACUACGCUCUGCCUUCCUGCUCUGCUGAGGACAUCGCUCUGCCUUCCUGCUCUGCCUGUGGACCCUGGCGAACUUGCCCCAGCCUCAUGCCUGCUCCUCGGCUCCUUGCGGAGCCUGCUAUCUGUGGGACAAUGCCUGCCUCCGGACCUGAGGGGCUGUGAAGACAUUACGCCCUGUAUUGUCAUUGGUAGUUUCCCUUAAGUGUCAUCAUUAGUCCUUAUGUGCUCACCCUUAAUUACAUUUGGUAUUUAAACCCCUCAUGUGUCGAUGUUCAGUGCAAAGUAUUGCGUGAGUUUUCCGUAUACCAAGCCAUUGUUAUUUGUUUCUGUGCCAUAGUUUUGAACUUUGUUCUUGCCCUCGAUGUUCGAUUCUUGUUUAGUUUAUUUAACGCCUGUUUUUGACCAGCUAUUCUCUCACGUUUUGGAUUUUUAAAAAUUUCUUUAUUUGGAAAUGCAUUGAACAACUGAAGACUCAGGACUGCUCGAAAAUCACAGCUGCAUUACUGUAUGGAACUUAUUUUGUGUGGUUUUUAGUUUUUUUUUUUUUUUGGGGGGGGGGGGUUAUGGAUUUAUAAGUGCAUGCAUGGAGAAUGAGUGAAAUGGAAAUGGGAGAUUUCUACAAACUACACUAUGGAUUCUUACUGGAUGUUCAAUAAGAAGCUUAAAGACCAUGAUAAUAUGUUUAAAGACUUUUUUUGCGAGAACACUUUUAGAAAGCCAGUCGUCAUAUCAAGGUAUUUGUAAAGGCUUGAAUCACAGUGACACUGAAGCUCUGACAUUUGGAAAGCCGAUAACUCUUCGCGUUGAACCAAAGGAUGUGCCUAGGUCUUUGCCUACUUUAUCAAUAUUAACCUCUCAUGGCAGCAAUGAGAAGCUGGAAACAUGUCUGGCUGCAGGCUUCUUUCCAAAAGAAGGCGAAGUAUCUCUGUACACAGGUGACAAUGUUACGCCUGAAAAUCACACUGUUGAAAAUGCUGCGAUGUCCGCAGCUGGGACUUAUUACUAUGCUGCAUUUUCCAAAGAUGGAAUUAAAAAAUGUGCAAUGAAAGAUGUUUCCCUUGAUAAAAACGAUGUAAAACCCACAGCACAAAUCCCAUCCUGUGACCAGAACAGCACUCUCGGUAUCAGUACUUCUAAUAAUCUGACCAGUCCAAACAAAAUCAAAAUUUCUGGUGAUCCUAAGGGGAACACCAUGCUUUUGAUUGUGACUGGUCUCAGACUUCUGUUGGCUAAAGCAGUUGGUAUAAAUAUAUUGAUGACAAUUAAAGCGUUUCUUGUCUAAAGUUAGACAAAUCCAGAACCUUCCCUUCAACCUUCUGCCUAAUCUAAUACUGCUGAUAUUCAACUACACAGCAAAACCUCCAGUAAAUUAACAUUUAUGCUGUUUAUAUAAGUCUAGAUGGACAGAAAUGAAAGCUGUAGACAGUUAAUUUCCAAAUUGUAAGUGUUCAUAGGUGUUCACUGACAUUUCCUAAGAAAAUAACAUUUUAUGUUUUUGAAAAGCUUAUUUCCUGCGUUCAAAUUCUUUGGUUUGAUGCAUAAAUUUCGAACUAUGUGGUUAAAAUGUAAAUAUUUCAUUUAGUACAAUUUAUAUUCAUACACUUGUUAAGUUUGAUAAAAAGCAGAUAUUUGAACAAGCAGUCAUUUUCCAUGAUAUUUCUGUAUGAUGUUUAAUUUCAAUAUUCUUUACUUUAACUGUCCUAUUUGCUAUAUUUAUCUUAUAUACAUUCUUAUUGAUAUGUUGUCUAUAUGAAACAGAGUGUGCAUAUGGGGUUAAAAAGAAAUAGUGCAACAUGCAAGUUGUUGCACUAACCACAGGUUUAACAGCAAAUAACCCUGCAAGGCACGAUGUAAACCUCACGCUCAGAUAACAAUCUAGCACACAUUUUAAGAAACGCUGUGUUUCAUCAUUAUGCAUAAUUCUCAAGUGAGCACUUUGUCUGCAAUGAAGAAACAAGCAACAGCAAGUUCAUGCUUAAUUCAAUGCUCAUUCUUUGGCUUCAUGUAUAGCAGAAAUAUAUUGCUGCAAUCUAAUAACCUUCCAUUAAGUUUUAUAUUUGUGUAUGCUUUUAAUGAUUUGGAUCUAGGCAAAAAGAACAAUUGUUUUUAUGAAUCUACUAUGAAUCUAAAUAAAAAGAACAAUCAUGAUGCAUGUGUAUAUGGGCUAUGAUGAAUGGGGAUGAAUAUGUAUUUCUGAAGGAUGGGUAUGUAUGCCUUAAUAUAACAAUAAAAGUGCUCUUUACCAAAAUCAUGAUGUUGAGUUUAUUUGGCUCCCUCCUCUGGCUGUGA